rnacentral:lncRNA from 1 species
AUGGAAUGGAAUGUGGGUGCUAAACGAAGGGUUGAAUUUGUUGAUGUAGGCGUGAAGGAAGAAAGUUCGAAUUCUAAGAAAGCGGAAGGAUCCCAAGACCGAGGUAAAUCCUCGAUUUAGAUGUAUGGACGGCUUGGAAUGUGCACACUUGGAUUACGCCCGCCUCACGCUUCCGUUAUUAAGUCUAUUAAAAUAGGUUAAGUU